CUCCAUUUUAAGCGAAGCAGUAACUGGUUAAGCUGGAAUUUCAUUCAGGCCUAGGACUUGAACAAGGAUCCUGUAGGAGGUCAUUUAGUUCAUCCUCUUGCCUGCCUACAAACUUAAAUUGUUUGGUCUGCUUUUAAAGAUAUCUAGGAAAGAAGGGUCUUUUAUUUUCUUGUACUACUUGGGUGAAGAACAGGUCUUAUUUUUCACAUAAACCGAUGCAGAAACUUAAGUUCAAGAAAAUUUAGGACAGUUGGAAUCAUCAGAGGUUUUUAAUUUACUGAAUACAAUUAAAUGUGGCAAGGAUCUUUUUUAGGUGGUCAAUUAACAAGUCACUUUUUGAUAAUUAUGAAAUACUGUGGAUAAUCAUGUUUUCUGUCUGGGAUUUUAGUUUUCUAAUUCUUUGAUAAGCAGUUUUAUAUUCUAUAAUAUGUGUUACAUAUUUAUUUCUUGUUUAUGUAAAGUGUUUUUCUCACACACAUCCACCCACACAUUUGCCUUUUCCAAAGGGAAUUUUAUCUUGCAUACCUUUUUUUUUAAUUUUUUAGUUGUAGAUAGACACACUACCUUUACUUUAUUUAUUUUUAUGUGAUGCUGAGGAUCAAACCCAGUGCCUCAAGUGUUAGGCAAGCACUCUACCACUCUACCAUCACCUUUUCCGGUUAAUGAAAAAAGUUAGAACUUCCAAGGUUUUUCCCAGAUAGCUGAAAUCAAUUCGU
rnacentral:lncRNA from 1 species